AAUUUAAAUCUGUAAUGGUGCUGCUGAUGCUUGAAGAAAAGCAACAUCUUAGGUUUGUUAACUCCAUUGGUUAGGUUUGGUGUUUGACCACCAUUUUUAAUCACCUUUCUGUAUUAAAAUCUCGAAAAGAAAACUAAGAUUGAUUGAAUUAGUAUUUCUAUCCUAAUUUUAACUUUUCUAUUAUGAACAGAUAAUUCCUGGUGAGUUAAUUAUGAGCUAAGAACAAAACCACAUUUUCUUAAGCUAAUAAUUUAUAGGGUUUUCAAGGGGCCAUGCUUGUAAAGAUUAGUUAGCAACUGCCCCUCAUUGCCUAUCCCUGAAACUGCACCACCACUCCCAACUUCUUCACAAACCCUCAAUAUUUUUUUAACUUGUUCGAUCUCUCUCUCUCUCUCUCUCUCUCUCUACUCCUUUAAAACCCUGAUCCCCUUCGCACACACUUCCUCACAACACAAACCCCUUUCUCCUCUUUUGAUCAUCACAAUCCAUACAACUAAAACAAGCCAACAAUCAACAACAAUGAGCACUAGCGAAGCCACCGUGAUCCCCAUCGGCGAUUAUGCCGCUGAUGCAGCUGGAAAAACUCCAGCUGCACCGGUUGCGCCUGCUGCUACUAGUACUGCUGCUACCGCCGCUACUGCUCCUGCUCCUGCUACUGCCACCACUAAUGCUCGUAAAGCACGCAUUCCUUUUCUUUUGAGGAGCAGCAAAAGACGCCAAGGAUGCAGGAGAUGCCUCGCGGCCUUCGACUUCCUUUUAAGAAUCUGUGCUUUCGGCCCCACCCUUGCCGCUGCCAUCUCCACAGGCACAUCUGACGAAACCUUAUCUUUCUUCACUCAGUUCUUUCAGUUCCACGCGAACUAUGCGGAUUUUCCGGCCUUCACGUACGUUACUUUAAAUGAAACAAGUUACACUUAUAUGUAGUAACAAAGUUUUGUAUCUGAGAUUGAAUUGGUAAUAGUUAUAAAUUCAGUAUUAUUUCGUCAUGAUGCAUGACUGAGAAAUAAAAUUAAUUGUGCAGGUUUUUUGUGAUUGGGAAUGCGAUUGCAGCGGGAUACCUAGUGCUGUCUCUUCCCUUCUCGGCUGUUGGAAUUCUUCGGCCUAAGGCUACAGGGCUGCGGCUUCUGCUGCUUAUUUUUGACACUGUAAAUUCCAAUAUUCAUGGCCUCUAUUUAACAUUCAGUUUCUUUAGUUAGUAUAAGUAUCAAGUUAUGCUUUUGUUCUACUACGCUCAUGCAUGCCAGUUUGGUUUGGCUUCCAGAAUAGUUUUUCUACUUCGAGAAGUAGUAAUUGAUGCUUGGCAAACAAAUAGUUAGUAGCUUUUGCCACACUUGGCAACCAAAAUGAGCUUUUGCUUCUGCUGCGGCGUUUUCUUUCUUUCUUUUUUUUUUUAUGAGAGGGAGGAAGCUAGGGGAAGUUAGAUAAAAACUUUAGCUUCUAGUGCCUAUCUUCAAUCACAUCUACUCAAACAAUACUUUUGUCGAAGCACUAAUCAGGCUAAACAAGCCCUAAAGGCUAUAUCAGAAGUUAAUUUUUCCGCAUUGAGGAAUCCAAAUCUAAAUAUACAUGAUUUCCCUCUUUAUGAUUUGUACAUGCAGGUAAUGGUUGCCUUAACUACCGCAGCAGCAUCUUCUGCUUCAGCAAUUGUUUAUUUAGCUCACAACGGAAACCCGAAGGCGAACUGGGUCGCGAUCUGCAUGCAGUUCCAUGGAUUCUGCGAGCGAACGAGUGGUGCAGUCGUCGGGACAUUCAUCGCAGUCCUCAUCUUCAUGCUUCUUGUGGUUAUGUCUGCUUUUGCUGUCCGAAAACAUUGAUUACUUAAGGACCUUAAAAAGGAAUAUUGUGGUGCUUGUGUGCAAUUUCUGAUCAUGUAUGUGCUCUUUGUCAUGUAUGUGCUCUUUGUCUGUUGAGAGUUUGGUUGUUUCUCUCUUUGUUUUCAGUUGGCUUCUUGCAAUAUGUAAUGUAGCAAAGUGCCAAAGAAUGAAAUAUUUAUAUAUCUGCUUGAUUUCUGGUGGGAACUGCUGUAAUUUUUAUCAUUUAGUACACAAUUGUAAGCAUGUCAAUUAACUAAGAUCUCUCUCUCUCUCUCGUGUUAAAUUAUAUGAAACAACCAUUUUUUUUAAAACUUAAGCCGGUAGAGAAUGCUGCUUUAAUAAUUAUAUUUAAUAUUUUUACUCACAUCAGGGCUCGAAAUAUUUUGAUAGAUCAAAGACAUGAAUUUAAAUUAAAUGGGAAGAAAUAUUUAAUAAUGCAAGGAGUCUCGCAGAACUUGAAUUCAGAACCUUUAUUUUGCUCUAAUAUCAUAUUACAUUAUACGGAACAACUGUUUGCUCCAAAAGCUUAAGCUUAUAGAGAAUGAUGUUUUAAUAAUUAUGUUUAACAUCACUCUCUCUUUUAUUUUCUUGAAUCCUGAGUGGUUUUACCAUGCAUAAAUUAAAAAAUUAUUAAUGGUGUUGAUGGAUUACUUUAUAAGAGUAUUCGACAUUUUAAAAAUUAUAAAAUUUGAACCCGAUGCGUGAGAACUAUGUUUGCGUAAAUACAAUUAUGGCAUCUGAGUAUGACACAAAACAGAAACGGUGAUACGAUAAAUUUUAAAAACUUUCAAAUAUGAUAUGUGUGGAUACGAUAAUAAAGCAUAAUUUUUUUACAAAUAUUUAUUAGUAUAUGUGACAAUAUAUACUACAAACUUCACUUUAGCUAAAAUGAUUUAAUAAUUUAUAAAGGUAAGGAACUCAUUUACUGGUGCAAAGAUGUAAAUAUUUGUCGAGCUUUGAUAUAUCAUGAAACUAAAUUACUGAGUGUUCUGAAAUUAAUCUGGAGUUUUAUCAACUGUGAAUUUUUAAUGCAAAUGCCAUCCAAAUGCAAAGUGAGAUAACUUAUUUAACAGGAUUUUGAAUACGAGAUUAAACGCAAAAAAGCUCUAUCAUAUGUCUCCCCGAUUUUUUCCUAGAGUAUCCAUUAAAGUAUUCCUCAAGUAUUUGAAUAUUUUUUUAAAUUUUUAAUAUAUCAAAUACUUCGUAAAAGUAUCCGACUGUCUCUAACGAGUAUUCGCGUCCGUACGGAUCCCAUAUGGACACCGUAGCCAAAAUAAACUAUCUAUGCAUCACUUAGAUAACAUGUAAGAGAAAUGAUUGGAGGAUAAGAAAUAGAGUUUUUUUUUUUUUGAGUUUAAUUCAUGUUAGAAUUAGUGAAGUGACAUGCACGAUGCGAAAGGGUUGAUAAUAGAAAAAAAUAAAAAUUUAUGAAAAAAGUGAACAUAUGGGAAUAUAAAUAUUCCAUAAUUAUUGAGAAUGAGACAGUCGACGAUGGCACCGUACAUUGUCCUUGUCGGAGACGCAUGAGGAGCAGCGAAUAGGGGCCGCCGAAGUGCUUCAAGCGACGAGCAAGAGAAAAAGGGAGAGAGAAAAAAAAAAUCUAAAAUGAUGGUAGAGAGAUCCAAAACCGCUGCAUAGAUGAGGUGAGAGGAGAGGGAGAUACCCCGCUAUUGGUUUGGGAGAUAAAGAAAAUCAAGAGAAGGGAGGAAAAAAAAAAAGAGAGAGAAAGAGGGUUGAAGGAUGUGGUUUGCGAGGGAGAGAAAGAGUUUUAUUAAGAUAAAAGAGAAUAAAAAAAAUUUAAAACAAAUAAUGGAUCCCACUAUCCUCAAAUGAAGAUAGUAUUCACGUUGGAUUUGACCAUGAGAAAUCAUGUACAGAUAUAGAUAUAAAUUAUUCUCAAAUAGCCUGAAUAUAUAUUUUCAAUAUUUUGAUUUGUCCAAUCAACUAGUAACUAAUAUUUUGAAUUGUCCAAUCAAUUUUAAAUUUUAAAUUUUUAAAAAUUACAUUUAAAAUCUUGGCUUAUCAUUUCAAUAUUUUGAUGUAAAUUUUUAAUAUUUAAUUUUUAGUUUGAAUUUAAAUUAUAAAUUUAAUUUUAUGUUUUGAGGUGCAAACUCAAUUUUAAAUUAUUUUUUAUAUUUUGUAUUUUAAUUUUAAUUAUUUUUUGACGAUCAAUUUUUUUUUUUUAAAUAUUUACAAUAGGAAUCAAACAUACCGAUUCCUAUUGUUAUUUUGACCAAACAUAUUGGAGAUUUUAUCAUUCCGUUUCUGACUUAUCCAUUCCGAUUCUAAUUUCGAUUCCAUUUCCCAUUUUGAAUCAAACGCGCACUAAUUUUUAGAUAUUUAUCGGUGUAUAAAAUGUAUUUAUACACUUGGUUUAGGUAAUAAUUUCCCAACUACAAACGUGUUCUGGUUUGUUUAUCUCUAAAAUGGAAAUAAUCACUACAACAGAAUUAGAUUAUAGGGACACAUUUUUGGAACAUUUUAUAUAAGUGUUCUAUUUAUGUCAAAACUUAAAAAAAAUCUACUAAGACCUAAAUAUAAAGUUCAAUGCAACAAAAAAUAAAAGGUUACUCUACUCAAACUAUCCCACCCAGUUCAUUCGGCCUGAUUAUAAACAGAAAAGAAAAAAAAGAAAAAUCGAUCACCAUCUCCCCUUCUCUCCUCACUCAAUCCACUGAAACCCUAGACGAAGAGCCCCUCGCUCUCCUCCUCCUCCGCCGCCGCAGCCGACAAGGUAGGGUUUCGGCGGUUGCUAAAUACUCAAAUAAGUGUUGGUAAAUUAGCAGCAUUGUUUUUAAGUUAUACCGACACUCUUAAACUGUUAUUAUAUACCUAGCGAUCCCACAUAUAGCAACACUUUUUAAAAGUGUCGAUAAUUUAGCUAGCAUCACUUUUUUUGACCUGUACCAAUAUUUAAAAAUGUCGCUAUAUACCGUUUUUGUUGUAAUGAAUCCAAUUACCCAACUAUUAAUGUCUCAAUUGAUAAGUCAAGUUCUAUGGGCUUCUCUCAACAACCAUUAUUAUCAUCUUAUCCAAAUUAAUAAGCUAGGUACUUGAAAAGUAUACAUUUCUUUAUCUUUGUACGUAUUUUAUUCUUCUAUAUCUUUGUACGUAUUUUAUUCUUCUAUAUCUUUGUACAUAUUUUAUUCUUCUAUAUCUUUGUACGUAUUUUAUUCUUUUCCCAUAAGUUUUGCUUUGGAAUGUUAAAUAUAAAAAUAUUUAAACACCUUUUACAAUCAACUUAAUCUUUUAGAAUAACGGUUGUUUCGUAUAAUUUAAUAUGGUAUCAGAGUAGGAAGUGCUGAAUUAAAGUCACGCCGGGCUCUUAGUAUUAAUAUAUAAUUCAAGUCCACGUCAUAGGCCGUUCUUCUCAGCUUAAGCUUUAGAAAAUAACGGCUUUUUUGUAUUAUUUCACAUUGAAGUCAAAAAAAUAUGCACAUUAAACUUCUUAUUGCUAGGGAGUCCCCAAUUCUUGGGUUUGGCCUAUUUUGUGAUGCAGCUCGAAAAUUUUUAGAGCUUAAAUCACAAAAAAAAUAAAAAAUAAAAAAGAUCCGUAAUAGAAAUGUAGAAUUUCUGGAUUUGGUCAGGCAUGAAGAGUAUAGAUUGUGUUGCCAUGUAGUGUAUUCAUAUUGGCCAGUUCUAAUUCAACCCGAUUCACAUAGGAUGUGGGAUUGAAAUUUAUCCCAACAAGAUAAGGAUAAUGAUGAAUUAUAUAUUUCUUAUUAGUUAUAUAAGAAACAUAUCUCGUGAUGAAUAUUUUAACUGAUAUUUUAAUCCUAAACUCUAUGUGAAAAUUAGGAUAUUUUAAGGGGUCCCGAUAAUCUAUAAGUAGGACCUCUUUCUCUCGGAUUUUUCAUAAACGAGAAUAUACGAAAAUAGAGAUUUCUUUAUUCUCCUCUCUUUUCCUCUCUCUGGGAUUUCCUCCUAAGUUCCCAGAGUUUUGGAGUAUGGACAUAGAAGAGCUCUGGUAGCCCUCAUCGCAUCUGACGAUCCGCAACACAUGUGUAACACACUGAACUUUAGCAAAUUGCAAGGUUCUAGUGUUAGAAUAGUAAUUUGAACUAUUCCUGGUAUAGUGGUAUUCAUGAGGGUCGUUGACUGUGUCCCGACCUAUUACUCGCGUCUUGAGGAGCGAGGGUUGGUACUUAGCACCAAAACCUCCAAACUGCAGGUUUUGGGGUGCUGGGUACCGGUAUCAGGGAAGGAGUACAGGAACCGUGCAGCGUGACUGAGAGGUGUGCUCUCGAGUUUGAGCUCUGCAAGGCAGAGUAUCGGUACUGGACCUGACACCGGUACUCCAUCGCGAGGGUAUCGGUACCUUGUGUAAUUUCUCGCUUGACCGAGGCUCAGGUUUGGCGCGCUCGGCUGCGGGGUACCGAUAGUUCAGCCUGCGUACCGGUACGCAAUGCAGAAUGCAGCCUGCACGUUUUUGAGGGGUCUUUUUGAGAUUGUAGCAUCUCUUUAAAUAGUACACCACCCCUUUGAGGGGCUUUUUGUACUGGGAACCUGAGGAGAAAGAGGUGAGCUUCCUCCUCUACCUCUCUCUAAAUUCCUCUCAUUUUCUUGUGAGAUUCUUAGGUUUGAUCUUCUCUUUUUGUUUCUUCUUCAUGGGGUUGCUCUUGGGUCUUUGGAGAAGCCUUGAAGUGAAGGAUUGGGCUUGUUUGAGGGAAGAACUCCAACCCUAGCACCUUUCAAGCUUGGUUUGGAACUUAAAGAGAGGUUAGUAACUUUAAUCUCUCCUUUGGAUUAUGUUUUGUUGGAUUUUUGGGGAUGAAAACCUAGUAUGUGAAAUCUAGGGUUUUAUUUGGGGGUUUUUGAUUUGUAGUCUUUGGGGUUAACUGGAUGGUUGUAGAAUUUUCUUUUAGGUUGGAUUAAAAGUGUUCUAGCUCUCAUUUGGAGAUUGGAAGGGUUCUUCACCAUAUAAGGUGAGUUUCUAUCUCUUUUUGGGUUGGAUAAAGAUGUGUUUGUGGGGUGUUCAUUCGAAACCCCUAACUUUCUUAGAAUCUUUAUUAGAGAGCUAGGAGACUAGUGGAUAUCCUCGUUCGCGCAAACGAAGGGGAUAUGAUGAGUUCUCGGUGGGUUUGACCUUACCGAAAUGGGUGAACUCCCCCUAUGUUAUAUUCUUUAUUGUAAAAUAGAAAAUCAUGCAUAUUCAUGCUAGAUAGAGUAUAAAUAAAUUUUAGAAUGUUUAAAAUACAUAUGUCAUAUAUCAUAUUAUAUCACCUCUAUGUAGUAGAGAGACAAGUAUAUAUAGUAAUCAUGCAAUUGAAUGGCAUUCUUCUAUAUGGUUAGAAAUCAUGUUUCAUUUAGUGAAAAUGAUAAGUAUAACAUGCUCUUGGACAUAGAACUCAUGCUUGACAUAGUGAACAUUAAUGUCAUAGUGGCAUUCAACUUAGUAAAUGGUUAAACUUUUACUUGAUGACAUAGUGAUAGACCGUAGGGUUUUUAGUAUUUAUACCAUGUUUUAGACAUGACGACCUUGGACAUGAGACGGAUGAUUACGCUUGCUUGCCAUUAUGUUCAUUUGCACAUGCUUGUGAGGGUCGCUCCCCACAAGCCGGCACUCCGAAGAUAGCCAACGCGACAUAAGCUCGCCCGUGCGGGAUUGGGCACCAAAAUGGGAUGCCAUAGGGGAGACUCAUUCCUAGAGUGGGAAUGUUGACUACUGCGGGGCCAUUAGGCACGACGCAAGCCGGGCUACACUUGUGUAGGUCCUAUUUGAUUGGAACAAUAUUGAACUAAAAUGCAAUGUGGACAUUAUACUAGUUGUAAAUGUAGACAUCCUACUAGUUGUACAUGUGGACAUCAUACUUGUUAUACAUUCGCAUUCAUGUUAGAAUAGCACUUAUACAUGUGAAACUCAUGCUAAGUAGAGGCAUAGUAGUUUAGUAAAAUUUAUUACAUGCUUUUUAUACAUGUUGUUUAUUUUCUUUAAAUGUUGAAUAAUACUACUUAUGCCUCUAUGACCUAGUGGUGUAUUUCGCUGAUGUCGGCAACUUACCCACUGGGAACUAUUGACUAAUAGUUCUCAUUUCCAUUGCAUUGUUGUUUUUGUUUACAGAGCCAUCCAUUCCGGAAGAGGCUAGGGACCACGGAAAGGGUAUCGCCUCUAGCUAGAUAACGAGGUGCUUUACUUUAGGUGGUUCAUCUCUCCUUUUUGUUUUAGUUGGAGAGAGUGAGAGUUUUGUACCCUAUGUGUAGAGACCACCAUUUUUGUGUAUCUUGUACCUUGUAUUUGGAUAUUUGGAUGUAUUUACUUUAUGAUUUAUGCUAGUUGUUUUAGCUCUUUUUAUUCUCCUUAUCAUUAGAAAUUAGUUGGUGUAUGCUCUGAUAUCGUAUUAGAUGUUUUAUCUAUCUUACUUCAUUAUACUAUUGUUCUAGACGCCUUAUAUGUGUAGACAUAUAGCGGGUCUGGACACGCACCGGGCGGGUUUCCGCUGGGUCCCGGGGCGUGACAGCAUGGGAGAAAGCAAGAUACAUGAAAGACCCAAAAACAUCGAGAUAAGGAUGAUCCAAGAAGGCUAGUAAAAUAAGCAACCCGAUCCGAUUUUGGUUCCUAAAUACAUUGGCUAUUUAGUUUGUGGUUUUCGCCAUCCUCUGAUUCCAACAGAUCGAAGUGUGUUCAAUAAGGAGUUUGGCUCAAAAAAAAGAAAAGAAAAGAAAUUCAUAUAUGAAUAGUCUCAUAUGGAUAAUAAAUGAAGCUUAAAGUGGUCUUUAUAUGAAUUACUAUAUUCCAAAUUUAUAGGUUUAAGUUUUUGGUUUGGAUAGGCUCUAAUAAACAUCUUAUACCUGUGAUUUUGCAUGAACUUGAAAAACUUACAAACUGGAUAGCCAAUGUAUCUAGGAACCAAAAUGGAUCGGGUUGCUUGUUUUACUUGCCUUCUUGGAUUGUCCUUAUCUCGAUACUUCUUGAUCUUUCAUGUAUCUCAUUGUCUGGAUGCUUUUUGAUCUUCUACGUAUCUUGCUUUCUCUCAUGCGUUGCGGAUCGUCGGAUGUGAAGAGGGCUACCAAAGUCAUCUUCUAUGUCCAAACUCCAAAACUUUGGGAGCGUAGGUGAAAAUCCAAGAGAAAAAGAAGAGAGAGAGAGAAGGAAGAAAUCUCCAGAAAUGUAGAUGAAAAUCCCAAAAAGAAAGAAGAGAGAGAAGGAAGAAAUCUACAUUUUCUUGUAGAUACUUAUGGAUACAAAAUCUGAUAGAAAAGGGGUCGUAUUUAUAAAUUAUCAGGACCCUUUAAAAUAUCCUGAUUCUCACAUAAAGAUUAAGAUUAGAUUAUCUAUUAAGAUAUUCAUUAGGAGAUAUGUUUCUUAACUAAUAAGAAAUAUAUAAUUCAUACUUAUCCUUAACUUAUUAGGAUAAUUCCCAAUCCACAUCUUAUGUGAAUUGGGUUGAAUUUGAAUGGACAAUUGUGGACAUCAUAUGUGGAUCGGGUUGAAUUUGAAUAGGUCAAUGUGGACACGCCAUAUGGCAACAAUCUUCCAAUUGGCCACAUUUGUCAAUUCUCUCUCAUACAUUCUACUCUUCAUACGGAUAAUGAAGUGUGUGAUCUGAUAAAAGAAACAUAAUGAAGGAGUGCUAUAUUAAGUCACCACCCAACUAACAUGGCACAUUAGUAGCUUAAUUCAUCUAUGUCCUGGAUGUUUCAAUACACAUCGGAUCAAGCAUCACAAAUUUCUCUCUUGUAAUGAUAGGGCUCGACCCUACAAUUAUUUCUCAUAUUCAUAAUUAUCUCAAGUAACACAACCGAGAUAACAGUCUGGACAAUGAGUCACAAGACUUACAUGGUGUGUUAUCAAAACGUCUUCCUCAGCUCCUCAUGUUAAUCUAUCUCGGUCCAAACACUUUACUAGACAUGCUUUGCAAGAUCAUAUUUUCUCAUGACCUGAGAUGCACGCUAAGUUAGUUACAUCAGACCUCCACUUCAUAACGUAGUUCUAAGUCGAGGGCAUAAAAGGGUUAGUGCUCACAUAGUUACAUAGAGAGAAGAACUUAUGUUACUAUACUAACUGGUUGACAAGCACAUACGAUAUGAUAUGUAUGCAAUGGCGGAGCUCCCACUCAAUGGGUCGUGUCACACUUUAAAACGCCAUACGAAUCUUGGUCUAGGUAUCACUAAUGUAUCAAUCACUACACAACUCAAGUCAUCUCUCUAAUCCGAAUACUUAGGUUCGGAUAUUAUACAGGCUCGAUAUGGAAUUUCAUAGAAGAACUCUCAUAUCCAAUUCCUUAGAGCCUCAUCUUAAACUAAUUAAGCCGACUUUUAAGUUAUAUUAACACUUUAUUCGUAAUGUAUAUAAACAAAGCAAUCAUAUUACAACUACUCAAAUUAAUAUAAUUAUCUAGUCUUAUCUUGCUCACCACCUAAUUGUUAGGCUGAUCACCCAUGUGAGUGGGCAGACCUGAGCCCGGUGACUUAUCGAUAUGUGUCUAUUAGAAUCAAUUACACAAUCACAUUAAAAGAAAAAUAUAUUUCCAUUAAGAAAGCAUCAGAUACAAAAGUAUCAAUAAUGUCCAUACAUCAAAACCUCCGAAGACCCAAACUCCUAGCGUGGGUCUGGAACAUAUCCCUAGCUAUCGGUUUGGUCAAUGGAUUGGCCACCGUCUUAGUAGUGGAGAUAAGUCUAAGAGUGACCUCGCCUAACCUAAUCAUCUCUUGAAUGUAGUGAAAACGAAUAUUUAUAUGCUUGGUUCUGCCAUAAUACUUAGGGUCCUUCACAUACUCUAGGGCAGCUAUACUGUUAGAGAACAUCUCAACAUGCUUAUCAGCUCAAGCCACAAUGUCGAGGUGCUGGAGAAAUCUUCUCAGCCAAACAACCUCCUGAACGGCUACUGAACAAGCAACGUACUUUGUUUCUAUGAUAGACAAGGCAACACAGCUCAUCUUCUUACUACACUAGAAAAUUGCUCCAUUUUCAAGCAUAAACACAUAGCCUGAAGUAGAUCUGCACUCAUCGCUAUCACCGCCCUAAUCCACAUCGCUAUAUUCUUUCAGUCUCAAGUCUCUAGCUUGGAAGCAGAGAAUGAGAUCACUGGUUCCCUUUAAAUAUCGAGGGAUCCUCUUGAUUGCUUGCCAAUGAAUAGAUUCUGAGUUGCUCUGAUAACCACUUACCAAGCCAAUAGCGAAGCAAAUAUCAGGCUGAAUACACAUCAUAGUGUAUAUCAAGCUGUCAAUUGCACUCGCAUAAGGAACUCUACUCAUUUGCUCAUUUUCUUUAUCCAUUUUAGGAAAUGUUAGGCUAAAUACACUUCAAAGUUGAAAGACAACCAACCCUUAGUGGUAUUGAUUGUUUCUAUAUUAUUUUCAGCCAAUAGUAUAUCAUUGACACAUAGGGAGAGAAACAUAAUCCCCUUCUCUAUCUUCUUGAUAUAUAAACAACGGUCUUCCUCUAUGAUCGAUAUGUCGAUAGACGUGAUGGCUUCAUGAAACCUAAAAUAUCACUGCCUCGACGAUUGCUUGAAGCCAUAAAUAAAUCUUUUAAGAUGACAAACUUAUUGUCUUGACCUUUGAGUACAAAACCCUUAGGUUGAUCUAUAAAGCAAACCAUCAUUGAUAACACAACUAUGGAAGCCGAGCUAAUUGCCUUAGUUUUAGCUAGCGAGAAAACUAGUUGGUUGAGAGACUUAUUGUCUGAGAUUCCAUUUGUAGAAAAAUCAGUUCCAUCUGUGUUAAUACACUGUGAUAGCACUAUUGCUAUGGUAGAGUAAGAAACCGUUAUUAUAACGGUAAAUCCAGAUCCGUGAGAAGGAAACACAACUGUGAGAUCAUAUAAGAACAAUGGAAUUAUUAGUGUAGAUUAUAUUAAAUCUACUGAUAAUUUAGCAAAUUUAUUAACCAAUGCCUUGGGAAGAGAAAGGAUCUGUAGGGUUGAUGUCACACCCCGCAACCGUUUAUUUGGUCGGUUCGGGCGCGCCGACAGGCAUCGAACGGACAGAGUCUCCCCUGUCCACCCAAGGCUCAACAUAACAUCAUGUACAUCUAGUUGCCCAGGUUAACAUUAACAACAUACAUGAACAAUGCGAGUAAUUAAACAAGCAGGAGCAAGAGAGAAAAAUCUAAUUACAACACUUAACAUUUAAUUAUCUUACAAGUUUCCACCAAUGCACAUAAUUUUGAUUUACUAUUUGCAUCAAAAAGAUACAUAAGGUUUACAUCUUCUCAUAAUACAUGCAUAUCUCUAGCAACCUCACCAAAAUACAUAAGUCUCUCCAUACAUGAAACUCUCAAAAUGGUGCCCAACUCUAAUGCAUAGGAGGUCGCUAGCUAGUUAGGGCGCUAUGCCCUUACCGUGGUCCUCAACCUGUCCGCCCGUGCUCGGCCCUGCAACAACAUAGGAUAAGAACUAAUAAAUAGUUCUCAGUGGGUUCGACUACCAAUGCCGCCGAUUUUUUCACUAGGUCUAAGGAGGCAAAAGUAGAAGGGUUAGCCAAAUAAUAGUUUUCUAGCAUGCUACUAUGCCUUUGGAAUAUGAACAACAAACAGGUAAGGUAAAUAAAUACUAGCAACUACUAUACUCAUGAUGCAUGCCAUUUACCUUUAUUUCCAUAACCCAAUCAAUCCGGCUUACCCGAAGGUUAAGCCCUGACUCACAACCAAUCUCGCAAUGUGAGGAGUAUCCACUAUGCUCACCCGAGACCGUCUGCGGGACAGAUACGUUAGUCCCUAUCGUGACGUAUUUCGAAGGCCACGCUUGGGUGGAGCGACCAUCUCCAAGCAAAACAGACGUAAUGUGAGUAUCAUCCAAUCCUCUAAUCCGAUGAUACUCUACCAACUAGUGGUAAUCAAAUCCGAGAACACCAAUCCCAAUUCUCAUAACUUGAGUAAUCACAUUGUUUCAAGCCAAAUGUCACAAGACUACAAUGUCUCUAACUAAUGCCACAAUGUUACCGUAACACAUUGGACUUUUGCAAAUUGCAAGGUUCGAGUGUUUGAUCUGUAUUUCGAGUUUUUUUUUUCUGGAAUUUUGAAGGGUCGUUGACAGUGUUCCGACCUAUGCCUCGCAUCCCGAGAAUCGAGGUUUAAAACUUAGCACUAAAAUCUCUAAAGUGAAGAUUUUAGGCUGCUCUCGGGGUGAACUCUGCAGAGCAGAGUACCGGUACUGCAUUGGGCCCGUACUGGAACUGGACCUGGUACCGGUACUGCAUCGGGCUGGUAACGGUACGCAGUGUAUUUUUCUGCGAACCCGAGACUCGAAUUUACGUAGACUGCUGCUUGGUACUGGUACUCUUUCCCGCGUACCGGUACGCAGUGCAGACUGUAGUUUGGCAGUUUUUGAGGGUUCUUUUUGUUAUUGUCACAAUACUUUAUAUACACCCUCACCCCUUGGACAGGGCUUUGGUGCUACGACCACAAGAGGGGGAGGUGAGCUCCUCUCCAUUUUUCCAUGGUUUUCCUUUCUUUUUGCUUGGGAUUUUUUUGGAUUGAUCUUCCCUCUUUGCUCCAUUUUGCAUUUUGGUGACCUUCCACCAUUGGAGAAGCUUUGAAGCUUGGAUUGGAGCUUCAAAGCUUGGAUUGGAGCUUGUUGGAGGAGAGAUCUUCAACCCUAAUCCAUUUUCUAGCUUGAUUUGGAGUUUUGGAGAGGUUAGUAAGCUUAAUCCCUCAUUUGAUCCAUGUUUUUGUAGAUUUUAUGGAAUGAAAACCUAGAAUGUGAAAUUUAGGAUUUUAUUUGGGGAUUUUUGAUUAGAAGCUUUUGGAGCUCAAUUGAUUGGUUUAGAACCUUUAUUUAGAUUGGAUUAGAAGGACUCUAGCUUUCAUUUGGAAUUUGAGAGGGUUUUUCCAACAUUUAGGUGAGUUUUGACCCUUUUCUUGGGUUGGUUAAAGAUGGAUACUUUAGGUGUUCGUUUGUUUCGUCUAACCCUUUUAGAAUUUUCUUUAAGGAGCUAAGAGACUAAUAGACAUCUUCGUUGGCGCAAACGAAGAGGCUUAGAGGAGUUCUUGGUGGGUUUUACCUCACCGAAAUGGGUGAACUCCCACCUAUACUUUAUUCUUUAUUGUAAAAUAAAAAUUCAUGCAUAUUCAUACUAAAUAGAGCAUAAAUGAAUUUUAGAGUACUUAAAAGGCAUAUGUUAUGUAUCAUGAAAUUUCGUCUAUAUGUAGUAGAGAAAUAGGUGCAUAGUACUCAUGCUAGUAUAUGGUAUUCUCAUGAUGUGUUGGAAUCAUGCUAUAUGUAGAUAAAUGACAUGCAAUUACUUGAUUAUGAACAAUGGACAUAUGCUAAAUAUAGUAGAAACCUAAUGUCAUAAAGUGGCAUUGAACUUGGAGUAUGUAUGGACUUCGUAAGCUACAAUGUCAUAAAGGAACAUUGAGCUUGGAAUAUGUUUGGGCUUGGUAAACUACAAUGUCAUAAAGUGGCAUUAGAUUAGUAAAUGAUGGAACCAUUACAUUGUGACAUAAAACUAGACCUUUGAGGUUGAUAGUAUUAUACCACGUUGAGACAUGAUGACCAAGUACUUGAAAUGAUGAUUUCGCUUGCUUGCCAUUUGUGCUCGAAUUCGCACAUGCUUGUGAGGGUCACGCCCUAUAAGCCGGCACUCCGGAGUUGGCCUACGCGACAUAUACUCGCCUGUGCGGUAUUGAGGGCCUACUGGGUCACCAUGGGACAGUAACAUCCUAGUGAAAUGCUAGACUAUCCGGGGCCAUUAGGCGGCACAAGCUGGACUACACUUGUGUAGGUCUUAUAUUGGAAAUGAAAAUGACAUAGAAACAGCUAAGUGACAUUUACUGCUUGAUAGUAGGAUUUGGUUGGGCAUAUUAUUACACUAGUUGGACAUAAUGGUAUAUUGGUGAACUAUGCUUGGUGCAUAUUUAUAUUCAUGAUGGUUAUUUUAGAGCACACUAAUAUUACUCCUUGGAUAUACAUGUUUAUGAUAGCAUAGUAACUUUUCAUGCUUUAUAUCCUACUAAACAUGAGGCAUAGUAACUUAACCAGGUUAAUUGUUGCAUUUCAAUACUUGUUGUUUAUUAUAACUAUUUUGCCUCUUUAGCCUAGUGGAGUAUUUCGCUAAGGUCAGCGGUUUGCCCACUGGAAACUAUUGAUUAAUAGUUCUCAUGCCCUUUGUUUUGUUGUUUUAUUUCAGAGCCUUCCACGCCGGGAGAGGCUCGGGACCGCGGCAAGGGUGUCGCUUUGGGCUAGAUAGCGAGGGUUCCGCUUUAGGUGGCUUACCCCUCUUUUGCUUUUUUUUAGAGAGGAUGAGAGUGUUGUACCUAUGUGUAGAGGCCACCAUUUUUGGCUAUUUAGCACUUGUACUUGGAUCACUUGUUGUACUAUUUUAUGGUUCAUGUUAGUUGAUUAGUUUUUUUUAUCUAUCCACUUGCUUCUAGAAUCUAGUUAAAAUUAUGCUCUGAUAUCUCUAGAUGUUGUUCAUUAUUGCUUUAAAUAUCACUUGUUGUAGACGCCUUAUAUAUUGUAGGCAUAUGGCGGGUCUGGACACGCACCGGGUGGGCUUCCGCUGGGUCCUGGGGCGUGACAGUUAUCUUUGUUUAUAACUAAUGCCACAAGGUUACAUUUGUCUCUAGCUAAUGCCACAAUGUUAAGUUUGCAUUUCAUGUCAAUGUCAUUUCUAAUGCCCUAAUGUUCAAGCGCUUAUUCAUGUCAAUAUAGAGUUUCUUUGUUUUCGACCCAAUUCUCAUACUCUUAGCCACUAGGUAUCAUAUCAUGCUUCCACAUAUACCAUAAGAGAAUGCAAGAAUUGAAAAUAACAAGCAUCUACUCUACAAUGCAUGAAUACUAUAUAUGAACAAAUGCACGGCAAUGAAGGAACCUAGACAUAAAGAGAAAUCUGGAUGUUCCGGAUAGCACCCCCCACCUCUAAAUGAUGCCGAGGUGUGAGAAUCCUAAGCUCGUGAUUUUUUUAGACGUUGCUUCGGCCCUCUGCGACGGAAAUGAAGAAAAAACACCCUUUUUCCUCAAUACCGUGCCACACGCUCGUAGGAACUCCUGUUUGAGUUGCCCACAAAGUCGGUUUUAUCUUCAAUUAGGUCUACAAAGGGUCAAUUUAACCAUAAACCUUAAUUCCAUAAAACCCCUAAUUUCAACCCUAGGGUUUCAUGCCAUGAACACCAUAGUUCCAACAUGGAAUUUCUAGGGUUAUAUAGGUCUCUAAUUUUACAAGAGAUUCAAAACAAAGAGUUAUAGGGCAUAAAACCAAACCCUAACAAGUAUCUUGCAAGAAAUCUCACCUUAACCCACUAGCUAUCCAAGCUCCACCUUGUAGGAGAGCUCUUGUUCCUCCAAAGCUCCAAAAUCCUCUUCAAAUCCUCUCCAAAUCUCCUUCAAUCCACCUUGGGAGAGAGUUUCUAGAGAGAGAGAGAAGGAGAAAAAUGAGAGAAAGGGGUGUACUUGGCUGUGAACAAGAGAGAGGAAGGUGUGGGAUUUUUAUAAGCUGCCACAAUUGCAUUUAGACCCUCCAAUAAUUUUUAUUUGUAGCAGAUUGCAUCCUGCUGCUCGCAGUGCAGGGUACCGGUAAGCGGGAUGGCAUCACCUGUACGCCACUUCGCAAAGGCCCAAACCCGAGAGCUGCUGCUCUCGGUUGCCUGCCUGGUACCGGUACUACCCAGGGCCAUCACCGGUACUCAGUGCCCAGACUGCAGUUUUGGCAGUGCUUAACACUACUUAGCGCCGAGCAAUGCUGAAACUCUUAUAACCUCAUUGGGACUCAACUUUAACCCUUCUAAUAUCGUUGGAAUGUCAAAUGGACUAUGUCCAAGCAUCCCUCUCGCUACGCUUUGGUCAUUUUGACCAAACGUGACAUAACACGACGAGGAUUUGAUAUCUUACAUCCUCCUCUCUUUAAAAGGAGUUUCGUCCGCAAAACACACACUUAAACUAAAAUGCAUAACUCAAUCCAAAUCUUCGAAAAGAUGAGGAUGAUGCUUUCUCAUCGCCUCCUCGAGCUCCCAAGUAGCUUCCCGAUCAUCGUGGUUGCUCCAUUGGACCUUAACAUAUGGAAUAUCACGGUUCCGUAGUUUUCUCACUUCUCGAGUAAGGAUGAAUACCGGGAACUCUUCAUAAGUCAUAUCUUCUUGAAGCUCCGGUGGCUCAAACGUGAGAAUAUGCUCGGUGUCGUGAACAUACUUGCGGAGAUUUGACAUGUGGAAUACAUUAUGAACUCCCGCAAGCUUGGGCGGCAAUGCUAACUGGUAAGCCAUCGCACCAAUCCGUUCCAAAACCUCGUAAGGUCCGAUAUACCGGGGACUAAGUUUUUCCCGAAUUCCAAACCGCUUUACACCCCUCAUGGGCGAAACCUUCAAGAAGAUGCGGUCUCCAACCGCGAACUCAAGAUCCCGACGGCGCUUAUUCGCAUAACUCUUUUGUCUUGUUUGUGCCGUCAAUAGCCUUUGGCGAGCAAGGCGGACUUUCUCCUCCGCCUCUCGCAACACAUUGGGGCCCAAAACCACCCGUUCGCCCACCUCACUCCAAUGUAUAGGAGACCGGCACUUCCUCCCGUAGAGGGCUUUAAAUGGUGCCAUUGCUAUACUAGCUUGAUAACUAUUGUUGUAGCCAAACUCGGCCAUUGCUAAGUGUUUAUGCCACCCGCCCCGAUAAUCAAUGACACAUGCCCACAACAUAUCCUCCAAGACUUGGAUUGUCCUUUCCGAUGUCCGUCGCUUUGAGGAUGAAAUGUAGUGCUAAAAUCGAGUCAUGUGCCAAGCACUUCUUGCGAACUUUUCCAAAAAUGAACGUGAACCGGGGGUCUCGAUCCGACACAAUUUACUUCGGAACCCCGUGCAGCCUCACCACCUCAUCGAGGUAAACCUGUGCCAACCUGUCUCCAGACCAAGUAUUGUGAAUCGGUAGAAAGUGCACCGACUUGGUCAAGCGAUCCACCACUACCCAAAUAGCAUCGUGGCCACCCAAAGAAUGGGUAAACCGACCACGAAGUCCAUCGCUAUAUCCUCCCAUUUCUAAACGGGAAUUGAUAAACUUUGGAGCUUUCCCGUUGGAAAUCGGCGCUCCGCCUUGACUUGUUGGUAAACAAGGCAUUGCGCCACAUAAUGCCCAAUGUCUCUUUUCAUCCCCGGCCACCAAUAGUGCAUAUUCAAGUCCUUGUACAUUUUGGUGCCGCCCGGAUAGACACUAUAGGGAGAUCGGUGUGCCUCUUGUAGAAUCAGCUUUCGGAUUUCUUCAUUUUUCGGCACACAUCAUCGGUCCCGAUACCGAAGCGCGCCAUCGGUGCCAAUGCUGAAAUCACCAAUGUGCCCACCAUCGACGUCCCGCCGAACCUUUUGGAGGCUUGCAUCCACAGAUUGCAAAUCCUUAAUUCACUCCAACAAGGUCGGUUGGACGACGAGAGCCGCAAGCAUAGCCGGAACCUCCAGAGCUACCACCUCAAGGUCAAGUCGUGCAUUUCUCUCCACAGCGGCUCCUGAUGUGUGAUCAUCAUUACAAGGUUCUCCACUGAUUUUCUGCUAAGCGCAUCCGCCACCACAUUGGCUUUUCCCAGGUGGUAAAGGAUUGUAACAUUAUAAUUCUUUAAUAGUUCCAACCACCUGCGCUGUCGUAUGUUCAAUUCCUUCUGAGUGAACAAAUAUUUCAAACUCUUAUGGUUUGUGUACAACUCGCAACGCGCUCUAUAGAGAUAAUGCCUCCACAACUUAACUGCGAAGACCACCGCUGCCAACUCCAGGUCGUGAAUAGGAUAAUUCUUUUCAUAGCUUUUCAACUGGCGGGAUGCAUAAGCAAUCACCUUCCCGCACUGUAUUAGAACACACCCAAGACCCUGGUAGGACGCGUUGCUAUAAACCACAAAGUCUUCUCCUUGCACCGGUAGAACGAGUAUCGGAGUUGACAUCAACCUUUCUUUCAACUGUUUAAAGCAUCGAUCACACUCGUCGCUCCACAUAAACUUGGUGCCUUUCUGUGUAAAACGGGUAAGUGGAACAACGAUUUUCGAGAAUCCCUCCACAAGCCACCUAUAGUAGCCCGCCAAACUGAUGAAACUACGAACUUCCGACACAUUCGUCGGAAGAGGCCAAUCCUUGAUUACCUCAACUUUCCUCGGGUCGAUGGAUACACCACCUCGAAAAUAACAUGUCCCAAGAAGGCAACUUCGCGGAGCCAGAAGUUGCACUUCUUUAAUCUUGCAUACAACUUUUUUUCCCGAAGGACUUGUAGCACGAUCCUCAAAUGUUCCGCGUGCUCCUCGUUGCUACGUGAGUAGACCAAGAUGUCGUCUAUGAACACCACAACAAAUCGGUCCAAGAAAGCCCUUAAUACAUGGUUCAUCAAAUCCAUUAAUGCUGCCGGGGCAUUUGUAAGCCCAUACGACAUAACAGUGAACUCGUAGUGUCCGUACUGCGUUUGGAAUGCGGUCUUGUGAACAUCUUUUGGUUUGAUCUUCAAUUGAUGAUAGCCCGAUUGAAGAUCAAUUUUCGAGUACACCCGCAACCCUUGCAACUGAUUAAACAAGUCGUCAAUAUGGGGCAACGGGUAUUUGUUCUUAAUCGUGACUUUGUUAAGUUCACGAUAAUCCACACAAAGACGGAACGAUCCAUCCUUUUUCUUGACAAAUAGCACCGGGGCUCCCCAGGGUGAUACACUCGGCAUCACAAACCCCUUGUCGAGUAGAUCUUGUAAUUGAGUCUUCAACUCCUUUAACUCGGCUUGUGCCAUUCGAUACGGAGCCUUCGAAAUUAGCGCCGUCCUGGGAACCAAGUCUAUUACGAACUCAAUUUUCCGAUCCGGCGGCAAUCCCGGUAACUCCGCGGGAAACACAUUCGGAAAUUUCCGUACCACAAAAAUAUCCUCAAGCGUCGAAGUCUCCCUAUUAAGCUCCACAACGGUCACCAAAUAAGCCGCGCAACCGCUGCCAACUAGUUUCCUUACCCUCGACACUGACACAGUCAUAGCGAAGAGUGAACUUUUGCAAGCACGGUAAGUGAACUCUUCUUAUCCGGGCUCACGAAAGGUUAUGAUUCGGUUCUUGCAGUCGAUAGUUGCAUUGUACUUUGAGAGCCAAUCCAUGCCCAACACUAGGUCGAAAUCCUUUAACCUCUUGAGCAUUAACAGUCGCGUCGGCAUAAUCUAGUCACCUAUUUGCACCGGGCACGCCAAACAUUCCUUUCUAAUGACAAAUGGACGCUCGGGGGCUUCUACCCGCCAAGUGCUUUUACUCAACUAGAUGUCAAUGCCAUGCAUUUGUGCAAAUGGUAGGCUAAUGAAUGAAUGUGUAGCACCUGUAUCAAACAAGGCUCUAGCUCGAACAUCAUUAAUUAGCACCAUACCUGCCACCACGUUGCGAUCGAUGACCCCCACAGGUUCCUCCACCUGAGCCGCAUAUACCCGACCACUAGGAGCCGGUCGGAGUGCCUACAUCUGACGUGGCACCAUCACACGUCUAGCAGAUACCGCCAUGGGCGGAGCUCCAACAAAUGGCCUCGGUGCCGCCGGAGCAGACACAACAGACAGGGUGGGCGACGAUCCCUCUGGGCAUUGCCGGACAACAUGUCCCGCCUGACCGCAUCUGAAGCAUCGUCCCUCCCUAUGCUCACAAUUUACCAGGCGAUGCUCCCCGCCACAAAUCACGCACCGCAAGGGUCCACGGCUCUUUGACUGUCCCUUCAGAUACUUCGGGGGAUUUUUGGAGCUAGAUUGUCCCCCCGAACCACCCAUAGGUUGUUUCUUACCCUUGUCCUUUUCAAACGCCCCGCGCUCCUCCCGCACACAAGCAUUCCUAUGCUCAACCCACAAGGCACGGUCCAAUACCUUCGCAUAGGUGCGGAACUUGAAAGCAUGCACCAUUCGGAAUAUGCUGGGCCGGAGUCCCCGCAUAAAGCACUCCGCCUUGUCUUGCUCGGUCCUCGCCACAUCCGGAACACAAAUCAUAAGAUGUGUAAACUCCCGCUCGUACUCCCGUAGUGCGAUUGCCUUGUUUUAGCUUUCAAAAAUUUUUCCGCAUCUUUCUCUUGUCACUAUCGGGAAAGUACUUGGUGAACAUCAACCCCCGAAACUCCUCCAAAUCGAUCGGGGGAAGGUCCGGAGAUCGAUCCUUCUUCACCCUCCUCCACCAUACUCGAGUCGUCUUCUCAAAGCAAUGAACGGCCAAGUGCACCUUGUCUUGCUCCAAGGUGUAGGUGUCCUCAAAUAUUGUCUCCAUCGUGGCUAGCCAAGUCUCCACGAUCCAAGGAUCCACCACCUCCCCGUCGAACGUCGGAGGGUGAAACUUCAUGAACUUUGUAAGAGCUGUAUAACCACGCUCCCGCUUAGCCUCCUCAGCUGCCAUAUCGAGUGUCGAUGAACCCGAAGCCAUCGGAUGAAUACAUGCCGACGGAGGACAUGCCGCUAUCGGAGCCGCCACAAUGCCCCCACUCUCAGCCGCAUUAGGCGCGCGAGCCGGGGUACGAGCGGAUCACGGCCUUCAGUUGCCGUCGCGGCUGCCGCGAUCGCCACUUGCCUCUCCAUCAGCUCCUGGAGCCGCUCCAACCGGUUCUCUUGGCGCUGCACUACACCGACUAGUGUAGUGAUCUGCGCCUGCAACUUUUGUACCUCGCCAGUCCCAGAAUGCUCGGGCACCUCAGGAGGUAGUGCCGGAGUGGAUCGCGUCCUAGGGCAUCCCCUCGGUGCCAUAGCUCCUGAAACGCAACAAUUAGGUUAAUUACCAUAACCCACGACUCUACGCAGUUUAAAAAAACAAAAACUCAUCACCCAACUUGGCGGAAGUACCUAAGCAUACUCAUUCCCAAUUCUUAGCGUUAUGUUGUCGGCUGCCAACACAACCCAUUCGAAUUGAAAACGAGUAUUACUUGAAUCCAUCUCUAUUGACCAUUAGAGACAUACUAACAAUUUAGACCCAAUUAAGUUAACCUCCGCCACGACUCAUAGAUCCACGUCUCUCACGCACCUAUGUCCUUAGGGUUACCAACCUAGGGUCUCCUAGGUCCAUCCUAGACUUCUGUCUUUUAUUGGCUCUGAUACCACUAAUCCUGUCACACCCCGCAACCACCUAUUUGGCCGGUUCGGGCGCGCGACAGGCGCCGAACGGACAGAGUCUCCCCUGUCCGCUCAAGGCUCAACAUAACGUCAUGUACAUCUAGUUGCCUAGGUCAACAUUAACAACAUACAUGAACAAUGUGAGUAAUUAAGCAAGCAGGAGCAAGAGAGAAAAAUCUAACUACAGCAUUUAACAUUUAAUUAUCUUACAAGUUUCCACCAAUGCACAUAAUUUUCAUUUACUACUUGCAUCAAAAAGAUACAUAAGGUUUACAUCUUCUCAUAAUACAUGCAUAUCUCUAGCAACCUCACCAAAAUACAUAAGUCUCUCCAUACAUGAAACUCUCAAAAUGGUGCCCAACUCUAAUGCAUAGGAGGUCGCUAGCUAGCUAGGGCGCUAUGCCCUUACGGCGGUCCUCAACCUGUCCGCCCGUGCUCGGCCCUGCAACAACAUGGGAUGAGAACUAAUAAAUAGUUCCCAGUAGGUUCGGCUACCAACGCCGUCGAUUUUCCCACUAGGUCUAAGCAGGCAAAAGUAGAAGUGUUAGCCAAAUAAUAGUUUUCUAGCAUGCUACUAUGUCUUUGCAAUAUGAACAAUAAACAGGUAAGGUAAAUAAGUACUAGCAACUACAAUGCUCAUGAUGCAUUCCAUUUACCUUUGUUUCCAUAAGCCAAUCAAUCCGGCUUACCCGAAUGUUAAGCCCCGACUCACAACCAAUCUCGCAAUGUGAGGAGCAUCCACUACGCUCACCCGAGACCGUCUGCGGGACAGCUACGUUAGUCCCUACCGUGAAGUACUUCGAAGACCACGCUUGGGCGGUGCGACCACCGCCAAGCAAAACAGAUGUAAUGUGAGUAUGAUCCAAUCCUCUAACCCGAGGAUACUCUACCAACUAGUGGUAAUCAAACCCGAGAACACUAAUCCCAAUUCUCAUAACUUGAGUAAUCACAUUGUUUCAAGCCAAAUGUCACAAGACUACAAUGUCUCUAACUAAUGCCACAAUGUUACCUUUGUCUCUAGUUAAUGCCACAAGGUUACAUUUGUCUCUAGCUAAUGCCACAAUAUUAAGUUUGCAUUUCAUGUCAAUGUCACUUCCAGUGCCCCAAUGUUCAAGUCCUUAUUCAUGUCAAUAUAGAGUUUCUUUGUUUUCGACCCAAUUCUCAUACUCUUAGUCACUAGGUAUCAUAUCAUGCUUCCACGUAUACCAUAAGAGAAUGCAAGAAUUGAAAAUAACAAGUAUCUACUCUACAAUGCAUGAAUAUUAUAUAUGAACAAAUGCAUGGCAAUGAAGAAACUUAGAUAUAAAAAGAAAUCUGGAUGUUCCGAAUAGCACCCCCCACCUCUAAAUGAUGCCGAGGUGUGAGAAUCCUAAGCUCGUGAUUUUUUAUACAUUGCUUCGGCCCUCUCCGACGGAAACGAAGCAAAAACACCCUUUUUCCUCAAUAUCGUGCCACACGCUCGUAGAAACUCCCGUUUGAGUUGCCCACAAAGUCGGUUUUACCUUCAAUUUGGUUUAUAAAGGGUCAAUUUAACCAUAAACCCUAAUUCCAUAAAAACCCUAAUUUCAACCCUAGAGUUUUAUGCUAUGAACACCAUGGUUCCAACAUGGGAUUUUUAGGGUUAUAUAGGUUUCUAAUCUUACAAGAGACUCAAAACAAAGAGUUAUAGGGUAUAAAACCAAACCCUAACAAGUUUCUUGCAAGAAACCUCACCUUAGCCCACUAGCUAUCCAAGCUCCAUCUUGUAGGAGAGCUCUUGUUUCUCUAAAGCUCCAAAAUCCUCUUCAAAUCCUUUCCAAAUCUCCUUCAAUCCACCUUGGGAGAGAGUUUCUAGAGAGAGAGAGAAGGAGAAAAAUAAGAGGAAGGGGUGUACUUGGUUGUGAACAAGAGAGAUGCAGGUGUGGGGUUUUUAUAAGUUGCCGCAAUUGCAUUUAGGCCCUCCAACAAUUUUUAUUUGCAGCAGACUGUAUCCUGCUGUUCGCAGUGCAAGGUACCGGUAUGCGGGAUGGCGUCACCGGUACGCCGCUUCGCAGAGGCCCAAACCCGAGAGCUGCUGUUCUCGGGUUGCUGCGGGGUACCGGUACUAACCAGGGGUGUCACCGGUACGCAGACCCCUAUUGUCCAAACCCGAGAGCUACUGCUCUCGGUUGCCUGCCUGGUACCGGUACCACCCAGGGCCAUCACCGGUACACAGUGUCCAGACUGCAGUUUUGGCAGUGCUUAGCACUAAUUCGCGCUGCGCAAUGCUAAAACUUUUCUAAUCUCAUUGGGACUCAACUUUAACCCUUCCAAUAUCGUUGGAAUGUCGAAUGGAAUAUGUCCAAGCAUCCCUCUCGCCACGCUUCGGUUAUUUUGACCAAAAGUGACAUAACACGUCGACGAUUCCAUAUCUUACAGUUGAAGCUCAUAAUAUCAUGAACCACGUGUGGGGAUACCCAACCCGAUGAUAAGAGAUCCUGAAAAUUGGGUUUAAUGAAAAAAACGAAUCAUAUGGUAGUCGUAAAGAAUGCACAAUAUAUAGAUCUAUAUGAUCGCAUCUUUACCUAUCCCUAUGGUGUGGGUGCAUUCAUCUUGUGAUGAAAAAAUGGUUGAAGUUUUACUCUUAAUGAAAUCUGUGCCUCUUAUGAGUAGGGUGUCAGAAUUAUAGGAGCAUCCUUGACGGAUUUCACCUAUGUGAGCAUAGAAAUAAGGCCGCUUCCUAUAAGAACAGGCUUAUUCUAAAAAAUGCUCAUGAAAACCAGGAUCAGCACAAGGCCGUAAUGUGUUAGUUAGUAAAACUCAUGUCAACACUUGAAUUGUUAUAUGUGAGCAGUGACUCUAUAUUUUUCUUAAGCAGCCAAAGUUUAAAUCUGAGACCGCUUUGGCUUUGGAGUAGAGAUUACUGUUUCACUAUGUAAAGGUUCAAUGUAAAGCACACCUUCAUUAUAUAUAAUGAUCCCUCUUUGGCCAUCAAACUCUUAUAUAUUUUAAUAAUAAAAAUGAGUGGGGGUAUGUUAUUACAUUUUAUUAUUAAUUAAACUAUUAAUUUCUUUUUUGAUAACAUAUGCAUUGAAGGUAAUGAAACCUACCUUUUCAUUUGGUGACUUUCUCGAACUUAAGAGAACUAACAUAUUCUCUAUUAACCUUUUUUUUUUUAAUUCCACUAUAACACUACCUAAACUUUAACCUAAUUAAUGUCUUGUAACCUAUAGCUUUGAGUUGUGAUAACCUAUAGGCUCAUGACGCCUAUAUAUAGCAUGCUUUCUACUUUUUGAGAAUACAACAAAAGCAAUAAGGAAAAAAAAAAAAAAAACUAUAAAUAUUGUCCGUCCAGAAAUAAAUAAACCUGCGGUUGUUUUUUCAUCCCCAAUACCCCUUUUUGUUUAGUUUGGGCUCAUCUACUUGCGCAUAGUUGGUGAAGCAACACGACAAGGGUUGAGCCAUUGUAUCUUGAAGGGGAUAAGUCAGUAUUCUGCUGCAUCGGUUUAAAGGUUUUGCCAACUGCAAAGGGCUUGAAUCUCUUUAAAGAGAGCGAUAUUUUCGUGCCUCAACUUGAUCGACUCGUCAACACUUUUUAUAUUAUUUUGUAGCUAACCUCUAUUUUUUAAAUAUACACACCAACAAAACAUUAAUCUAUAUAUAUGUUGCACUCGUAUCCUUCAUUAGCUAGCGCUCACUUGACUAACUAUAUAUAUUACGGCCUGCAAAUAUAUAUAGUUUUUUUUUGUUGAUUGAGAAACAUUAAUCUAUUAUUUAUAUUAUAUUCUUAUAGAUUAUAUGGUAUUUGUGACUAAAUCAAAUAAGGAAUGAAACAGGAGAAAAAAAAUUAACCUGUCUAUGUUGGGGCUAAAACAUAAAAUACUCAAUAAAACUAAUAGCUUGUAUGUACAAGAUGGACUUAAUAAUUAUUUGAUAGAAAGUGCUAAAAAGAAUUAAGAAACAUAAAAUAAGGAAUGCAAUAAAAAAAAGGAAUAAACAUUAGAGAAGAGAUAUGCAAGGAAACAGAAAAGCCGAAACUUGUUAUUUUCUUUAAAAAAAUUUAUUAAUGAUUUCUUCCAGCAUGUACCUCAUAUGACAAUAUAUAGCAUUACAAAUAAAAUUAUUUAGGGCCUAAUAAAUUUUUUGUUUGCAUUUAUAACUCCAAUUUCUCUUCCUUGUUUGUUGGAAUAAUAAUCCAAACUUAAUUAAAAUAUAGUUAGAGAUAAGUUUAAUUCUUUUAUUUGAUUAUAAUUAGGAUUUGUAAUUAUCUAAAAUAAAAGUUGAAUUUAUCAUCUGUUAUGACUUGAUAGCUAUAUAUAGUUAAGUAUGUGUUAAUUAGAGGAAUAAGACACAGUAGACAUGACUGUAUGGGUGUUGCCCAGGAUGUAAUGAAAUGCUUUUCAUUAAUAAAGUAUUAGUUUAGUUUUCUUCUUCCUCCUCCAGUAUCCUUUCUCCAUAUUAUAUUUUGUUCUAUUUUAGAUCCUAUGUUACAUAAUCAGUAUCAAAACAAGUACCAAUUCCAACAAUUGUAUCAGAACAAAUCAUGCUUUCAACAAGUGGUAUCAGGGUCGGAAAGUAUCAUGUGACUUCUUAAAAAGACG
rnacentral:lncRNA from 1 species